ACGAACGCUGGCGGCGUGCUUAACACAUGCAAGUCGAACGGAAAGGCCUCUUUCGGGGGGUACUCGAGUGGCGAACGGGUGAGUAACACGUGAGUAACCUGCCCUUGACUUUGGGAUAACUUCAGGAAACUGGGGCUAAUACCGGAUAGGAGCUCCUGCUGCAUGGUGGGGGUUGGAAAGUUUCGGCGGUUGGGGAUGGACUCGCGGCUUAUCAGCUUGUUGGUGGGGUAGUGGCUUACCAAGGCUUUGACGGGUAGCCGGCCUGAGAGGGUGACCGGCCACAUUGGGACUGAGAUACGGCCCAGACUCCUACGGAGGCAGCAGUGGGGAAUAUUGCACAAUGGGUGGAAGCCUGAUGCAGCAACGCCGUGUGCGGGAUGACGGCCUUCGGGUUGUAAACCGCUUUCGCUCAUGACGAAGCUUUGUGUGACGGUAGUGGGUAAAGAAGCACCGGCUAACUACGUG
rnacentral:rRNA from 1 species